ACUACGGGUGGCAGCAGUGGGGGAUAUUGCACAAUGGGGGGAACCCUGAUGCAGCGACGCCGCGUGGGGGAAGAAGGGCCUCGGCGCGUAAAGCCCUGUCAGCAGGGAAGAAAAUGACGGUACCUGAAGAAGAAGCCCCGGCUAACUACGUGCCAGCAGCCGGGGUAAUACGUGGGGGGCAAGCGUUAUCCGGAUUUACUGGGUGUAAAGGGGGCGCAGACGGGGGUGCAAGCCAGGAGUGAAAGCCCGGGGCCCAACCCGGGGACUGCUCUUGAAACUGCGUGGCUGGAGUGCAGGAGGGGCAGGCGGAAUUCCUGGUGUAGCGGUGAAAUGCGUAGAUAUCAGGAAGAACACCGGUGGCGAAGGCGGCCUGCUGGACUGCAACUGACGUUGAGGCCCGAAAGCGUGGGGAGCAAACAGGAUUAGAUACCCUUGUAGUC
rnacentral:rRNA from 1 species